rnacentral:rRNA from 1 species
GACGAACGCUGGCGGCGUGCUUAACACAUGCAAGUCGAACGAAGAGCGAUGGAAGCUUGCUUCUAUCAAUCUUAGUGGCGAACGGGUGAGUAACGCGUAAUCAACCUGCCCUUAGGGGGGGACAACAAGUGGAAAAGGCUGGCUAAUCCCGCAUACGACCUAAUCUGGGCUUGGGGGUAGAAGAAAGGGGGGCCCCUAAAUUUAGGCAAUCACGGAAGGGGGGGAUUGGGUCGGAUUAGUUAGUGGGGGGGGUAAGGGCCCACUAAGGCGAUGAUCAGUAGCCGGUCUGAGAGGAUGAACGGCCACAUUGGGACUGAGACACGGCCCAGACUCCUACGGGAGGCAGCAGUGGGGAAUCUUCCGCAAUGGACGAAAGUCUGACGGAGCAACGCCGCGUGAGUGAUGACGGCCUUCGGGUUGUAAAGCUCUGUUAAUCGGGACGAAAGGCCUUCUUGCGAAUAGUGAGAAGGAUUGACGGUACCGGAAUAGAAAGCCACGGCUAACUACGUG